UCCGUUUCUGUCGCUGCAGUCGUCCGCGGGACUCCGGCCGGUUGCCGGCCCCAGGCGGUGCUUCUCCCCACCACCGCCCAGCUCAGCUCAGCCCAGCCCAGCCCACUCUGCCCUUAGAGGCCCUUCUCCCCAAAGACGCACUCCAGAAGUCUCGCCCUCGUGCGGCUGAGGAGCCUGGGAUCCCAGACCUGAACAAGCCAUUGGCAGCAAGGCUGUCAACUACUCCAGCACCGGUAGCAGCAAGUCUUUUUGUUCCUGUGUGCCUUGUGAAGGAACUGCUGAUGCCAGCUUCGUGACUUGUCCCACCUGCCAGGGCAGUGGCAAGAUUCCCCAAGAGCUGGAGAAGCAGUUGGUGGCUCUCAUUCCCUAUGGGGACCAGAGGCUGAAGCCCAAGCACACGAAGCUCUUUGUGUUCCUGGCCGUGCUCAUCUGCCUGGUGACCUCCUCCUUCAUCGUCUUUUUCCUGUUUCCCCGGUCCGUCAUUGUGCAGCCUGCAGGCCUCAACUCCUCCACAGUGGCCUUUGAUGAGGCUGAUAUCUACCUCAACAUAACGAAUAUCUUAAACAUC
rnacentral:lncRNA from 1 species